AACGCUGGCGGCAUGCUUUACACAUGCAAGUCGAACGGCAGCACGGGGGCAACCCUGGUGGCGAGUGGCGAACGGGUGAGUAAUAUAUCGGAACAUGUCCGGAAGUGGGGGAUAGCUCGGCGAAAGCCGGAUUAAUACCGCAUAUGCCCUGAGGGGGAAAGGAGGGGAUCCGCAAGGACCUUUCGCUUUCGGAGUGGCCGAUAUCGGAUUAGCUAGUUGGUGAGGUAAAGGCUCACCAAGGCGACGAUCCGUAGCUGGUCUGAGAGGACGACCAGCCACACUGGAACUGAGACACGGUCCAGACUCCUGCGGGAGGCAGCAGUGGGGAAUUUUGGACAAUGGGGGAAACCCUGAUCCAGCCAUGCCGCGUGAGUGAAGAAGGCCUUCGGGUUGUAAAGCUCUUUCAGACGGAAAGAAACGGUUACGGCUAAUACCCGUGACUAAUGACGGUACCGUCAGAAGAAGCACCGGCUAACUACGUGCCAGCAGCCGCGGUAAUACGUAGGGUGCGAGCGUUAAUCGGAAUUACUGGGCGUAAAGCGUGCGCAGGCGGUUUUGUAAGACAGGCGUGAAAUCCCCGGGCUUAACCUGGGAACUGCGUUUGUGACUGCAAGACUAGAGUACGGCAGAGGGGGGUAGAAUUCCACGUGUAGCAGUGAAAUGCGUAGAUAUGUGGAGGAAUACCGAUGGCGAAGGCAGCCCCCUGGGUCGAUACUGACGCUCAUGCACGAAAGCGUGGGGAGCAAACAGGAUUAGAUACCCUGGUAGUCCACGCCCUAAACGAUGUCAACUAGGUGUUGGGGAAGGAGACUUCUUUAGUACCGCAGCU
rnacentral:rRNA from 1 species